rnacentral:rRNA from 1 species
UCCUACGGGGGGCUGCAGUGGGGAAUAUUGGACAAUGGGCGAAAGCCUGAUCCAGCAAUGCCGCGUGCGUGAUGAAGGCCUUCGGGUUGUAAAGCGCUUUCGCCCACGACGAUGAUGACGGUAGUGGGAGAAGAAGCCCCGGCUAACUCCGUGCCAGCAGCCGCGGUAAUACGGAGGGGGCUAGCGUUGUUCGGAAUUACUGGGCGUAAAGGGUGCGUAGGCGGCUGUCCAAGUCGGGUGUGAAAGCCCCGGGCUCAACCCGGGAUGUGCAUCCGAGACUGGGCGGCUAGAGUUCGGGAGAGGUGAGUGGAAUUCCCAGUGUAGAGGUGAAAUUCGUAGAUAUUGGGAAGAACACCGGUGGCGAAGGCGGCUCACUGGACCGACACUGACGCUGAGGCACGAAAGCGUGGGGAGCAAACAGGAUUAGAUACCCUGGUAGUCCUC